UGCCAAUCCAUGAGCAUGGGAUUUCCAC
rnacentral:misc_RNA from 1 species